UUAUGAUUUGUUUAAUUAGUCCAAUAAAAAACUUAUUUAAUUGAUGUUGAACAAACUCAUUUGUAUAACAUCUGCUUAAGAUUAAAAUUGUAUAGUCCUCACAGCUAUUGGUGUCCUCACAAAAUGCUUGCCAUCUGUCCAUGUUAAGCUUCCAAAUCUGUAAUCUCCAUGCAACUUUUGAGUUGAUAUGAAACUAACAUUAAAGGGGUUUGAUGUUCAUUGACUCACCUGUUGUUACCAAAGCUGAUCUUAUGGCUGCAGGUGACCAAGUUGGGUGUUUGGAUUUGAUGAGUGCUGCUAUUCCUGCCACAUGGGGACAAGACAUUGAUGUUCCAGAUAAAAAUGUAAAUCCACUGCUCUUUUUACUGUUCUUUGGUGGAAAUGCAGCCAAAAUGUCCACACCAGGUGCAGCUAUGUCAGGCUAUAUCUCCAUGAACCAUUCCCAGAAGAGUACAGGUUUUGAAUGACAUCAUAAAUUGAUAGAUGAGUAAGAGCCUUGUAUUUUUGUUUUGUGGUAAUUUGCAGACUAUAACUUAAAGAACAGCACACCAAAUAGACAUUUUUUGUUUUGUGAUGUCAUGUAUUUUAAAUUUUAUUUUGAGUUCUAUUUGUUCUUUUAUUUAAUUUUGUAGAGAUCCUACAAUACUACGACUACAACUAUGCCCGGUCGAAGGUAACAAAAAUCAUUAUUCGUUACCGGUAAUUGUGUUAACAAAUGACUGGUUGAUUGUGA